rnacentral:rRNA from 1 species
CAGCAGCCGCCGCGGGAAUACGGAGGAUCCAAGCGUUAUCCGGAAUCAUUGGGUUUAAAGGGUCCGUAGGCGGUCUUGUAAGUCAGUGGUGAAAGCCCAUCGCUCAACGGUGGAACGGCCAUUGAUACUGCAGGACUUGAAUUAUUGGGAAGUAACUAGAAUAUGUAGUGUAGCGGUGAAAUGCUUAGAGAUUACAUGGAAUACCAAUUGCGAAGGCAGGUUACUACCAAUUGAUUGACGCUGAUGGACGAAAGCGUGGGUAGCGAACAGGAUUAGAUACCCCGGUAGUCCCUGUCUCUUAUAC